rnacentral:rRNA from 1 species
CAGUAGCCGCGGGAAUACGUAGGUGGCAAGCGUUGUCCGGAAUUAUUGGGCGUAAAGCGCGCGCAGGUGGUUUAAUAAGUCCGAUGUGAAAGCCCACGGCUCAACCGUGGAGGGUCAUUGGAAACUGUUAAACUUGAGUGCAGGAGAGAAAAGUGGAAUUCCUAGUGUAGCGGUGAAAUGCGUAGAGAUUAGGAGGAACACCAGUGGCGAAGGCGGCUUUUUGGCCUGUAACUGACACUGAGGCGCGAAAGCGUGGGGAGCAAACAGGAUUAGAUACCCCAGUAGUCCCUGUCUCUUAUAC